CUCAGCAGGGACCCCCCAAAACCGGGGAACCCCCCCAAACCCCUGGGGGACCCCCCAAACCUGGGGACCCCCCCCAAACCCCUGGGGGACCCCGGCGUACCUUAAGCAGGAUCUCCACGGUGAAGAUGGAGGUGAAGGCAUAGUCAAAGUAGCCCAAGAUCUGGGGGGGGAGCGUGGGAAACAGGGUAANCCCACCGGGCAAGCAGCUCCCCAGCCCGUGAUGGGGUGAGUGAGCCCUUCCCCAUUCUCCCAGUUCCCCCCAGUAGCCCACGUGGUUGCGGGGCGAAUGGGCGCGGACGGGGUCCUCGGCAGCCAGCGAGACGCUGCUCAGGAUGAUGAAGACGAGGAUGAGGUUGGUGAAGAUGUGGUGGUGGAUGAGGGCGUGGCACCGCACUCGCAGCCUGCACCGAGCACGCAUUAGCACCAGUGCUCCCACAGGAAGAAGGCGCUGCCCUCGGGGAUCGGCACCACCUUGGGUUUGGGGGGUUCCUCCAGGGUCUCCAGCCGGGCCCCCCCCAGACUGUCCUGCUCCCCCGCAGCCUCCUCGUCACCUGCAAGGGACCGUUGCGGCGGGCGCUGUCACCCCCCACUGCCACCCGUGGGCCCUGGCGGCCUGGCAGUGACGCUCACCUUCAUCGCUGCCCUCUUCCUCCUCCUCUUCCUCCUGCUGCUGCUCCCCCUCAAUCUGGGAGGGGAAAAGAUGGGGGGGGGGCGCUGAGUGCGUAAGGGCCGUGCACGCGCUGCGGGGGGGCGCCCUGCUCACACUCACCUUCACACUCACGUCCUGGCUCCCUGCGCCGCUCUCCGCCUCCCCAGGCUUGUCCCUGGCAGGGGUGGACAACACGGGGGCUCAGCCGCAGGGCCCAGGCGUCUGGGUGCCCCCCGCUGCGGCCCCACUCACUUUUUAUCGCCCCCCGAGUUGAUGUUGUCGCCGUCGGCCAAGUUGUCCACCGCGAUGGCCAAGAAGACGUUGAGGAGGAUGUCUGCGAGGAGCAAAGGGUUAACCAGUGCUCCCAGUUAGCCCCCCCAGUGCCCCUCUUGCUGGGUUUGUGCCUGCUCUCAGUCGGUCCCCCCGCCGCUCUCAGUGUCUCGUUCCCAACUGUGGUGGCUCCCAUACCAGCUCCCCAGUUACCCCGUGCUUUGUUCCCAGUCCCUCCCAGUUACCCGCUCCCAGUAUCCUCCCCCC
rnacentral:lncRNA from 1 species